rnacentral:rRNA from 1 species
UACGUAGGGUGCGAGCGUUGUCCGGAAUUAUUGGGCGUAAAGAGCUCGUAGGCGGCUUGUCGCGUCGGAUGUGAAAUCCCGGGGCUCAACCCCGUGACUGCAUCCGGUACUGUCAGGCUAGAGGUAGGUAGGGGAGAUCGGAAUUCCUGGUGUAGCGGUGAAAUGCGCAGAUAUCAGGAGGAACACCGGUGGCGAAGGCGGAUCUCUGGGCCUUACCUGACGCUCAGGCGCGAAAGCUAGGGGAGCGAACAGG